rnacentral:rRNA from 1 species
UACGUAGGGUGCAAGCGUUGUUCGGAAUUACUGGGCGUAAAGGGCGCGUAGGCGGCUUUAUAAGUCGGGGGUGAAAGCCUGUGGCUCAACCACAGAAUUGCCUUCGAUACUGUAGAGCUUGAGACCGGAAGAGGUAAGUGGAACUGCGAGUGUAGAGGUGAAAUUCGUAGAUAUUCGCAAGAACACCAGUGGCGAAGGCGGCUUACUGGUCCGGUUCUGACGCUGAGGCGCGAAAGCGUGGGGAGCAAACAGG